rnacentral:tRNA from 1 species
GGGAGGACACUGCAGGAUACCAGCCUUCUUCGUUUACACCGAAGAUGUCGGCGGUUCGAGCCCGUCAUCGCCCACCA